rnacentral:sRNA from 1 species
UCUGGCCCGGGGAAGUCCCUGUCCUUACCUUCAGCAGGAGCCAGUUCCCUGUCUGUGUGUCCGCUCGCCCUCUGCUCCGUCCUGCCGCUGCCCACUGCCCUCCUACGGUCCACCAUGGCCCUGCUGCACUCCGGCCGCGUCCUCCCCGGGAUCGCCGCCGCCUUCCACCCGGGCCUCGCCGCCGCGGCCUCUGCCAGAGCCAGCUCCUGGUGGACCCAUGUGGAAAUGGGACCUCCAGAUCCCAUUCUGGGAGUCACUGAAGCCUUUAAGAGGGACACCAAUAGCAAAAAGAUGAAUCUGGGAGUUGGUGCCUACCGGGAUGAUAACGGAAAGCCUUACGUGCUGCCUAGCGUCCGCAAGGCAGAGGCCCAGAUUGCCGCAAAAAAUUUGGACAAGGAAUACCUGCCCAUUGGGGGACUGGCUGAAUUUUGCAAGGCAUCUGCAGAACUAGCCCUGGGUGAGAACAGCGAAGUCUUGAAGAGUGGCCGGUUUGUCACUGUGCAGACCAUUUCUGGAACUGGAGCCUUAAGGAUCGGAGCCAGUUUUCUGCAAAGAUUUUUUAAGUUCAGCCGAGAUGUCUUUCUGCCCAAACCAACCUGGGGAAACCACACACCCAUCUUCAGGGAUGCUGGCAUGCAGCUACAAGGUUAUCGGUAUUAUGACCCCAAGACUUGCGGUUUUGACUUCACAGGCGCUGUGGAGGAUAUUUCAAAAAUACCAGAGCAGAGUGUUCUUCUUCUGCAUGCCUGCGCCCACAAUCCCACAGGAGUGGACCCGCGUCCGGAACAGUGGAAGGAAAUAGCAACAGUGGUGAAGGUGAGCGUGUAGGAGCCUUCACUAUGGUCUGCAAAGAUGCGGAUGAAGCCAAAAGGGUAGAGUCACAGUUGAAGAUCUUGAUCCGUCCCAUGUAUUCCAACCCUCCCCUCAAUGGGGCCCGGAUUGCUGCUGCCAUUCUGAACACCCCAGAUUUGCGAAAACAAUGG